AUUGAACGCUGGCGGCAGGCCUAACACAUGCAAGUCGGGCGAGCGGCGGACGGGUGAGUAAUGUAUGGGGAUCUGCCUGAUGGAGGGGGCUAACUACUGGAAACGGUAGCUAAUACCGCAUACCAUCAGAUGUACCCAUAUGGGCUUAGCUUGUAGGUGAGGUAACGGCUCACCUAGGCGACGAUCCCUAGCUGGUCUGAGAGGAUGAUCGUCCACACAGCGAGUGAGAGACGGACCAGACUCCUACGGGAGGCAGUGGUGGGGAAUAUAGCACGGUGGGCGAAAGGAUGAUGCAGCCAUGCGGCGAGUAGGAAGAAGGCCGUGGUGUUGAAUAGUACUUUCAGUCGGGAGGCGUUAGCGACAGAAGAAGCACCGGAUAACGCCGCGCCAGCCGCGGUAAUAC
rnacentral:rRNA from 1 species